rnacentral:rRNA from 1 species
UACGUAGGUGGCGAGCGUUGUCCGGAUUUACUGGGCGUAAAGAGCGCGCAGGCGGUCGUGCAAGUCGCGUGUGAAAGCCCCCGGCUCAACUGGGGAGGGUCACGCGAUACUGCUCGACUCGAAGGCAGGAGAGGGAAGUGGAAUUCCCGGUGUAGGGGUGAAAUGCGUAGAUAUCGGGAGGAACACCAGUGGCGAAGGCGACUUCCUGGCCUGUUCUUGACGCUGAGGCGCGAAAGCUAGGGUAGCAAACGGG